GCCGCUAUGGCGCAGGGGUAACGCGUCGCACUUGUAGUGCCGAGGACUCCAAUGUCUUGACGGUACAAUACAUGCGAAGAUCACAAGUUCGAAUCUUGUUGGUGGCA